rnacentral:rRNA from 1 species
AACAGGAUUAGAUACCCUGGUAGUCACGCGUAAACGAUGUCGACCAGCCGUCGGGACCUUUAUGGAUCUGGUGGCGCAGUUAACGCGAUAAGUCGACCGCCUGGGGAGUACGGCCGCAAGGUUAAAACUCAAAUGAAUUGACGGGGGCCCGCACAAGCGGUGGAGCAUGUGGUUUAAUUCGAUGCAACGCGAAGAACCUUACCUGCCCUUGACAUCCGGAGAACUUUCCAGAGAUGGAUUGGUGCCUUCGGGAACUCCGAGACAGGUGCUGCAUGGCUGUCGUCAGCUCGUGUUGUGAAAUGUUGGGUUAAGUCCCGUAACGAGCGCAACCCCUGUCCCUAUUUGCCAGCACGUAAAGGUGGGAACUUCAGGGAGACUGCCGGUGACAAACCGGAGGAAGGUGGGGACGACGUCAAGUCAUCAUGGCCCUUACGGGCAGGGCUACACACGUGCUACAAUGGCCGGUACAAAGGGUUGCGAGACCGCGAGGUGGAGCGAAUCCCAUAAAGCCGGCCUCAGUCCGGAUCGGAGUCUGCAACUCGACUCCGUGAAGUCGGAAUCGCUAGUAAUCGUGAAUCAGAAUGUCACGGUGAAUACGUUCCCGGGCCUUGUACACACCGCCCGUCACACCAUGGGAGUGGACUGCACCAGAAGUGGUUAGCUCAACCUUCGGGAGAGCGAUCACCACGGUGUGGUUCAUGACUGGGGUGAAGUCGUAACAAGGUAGCCGUAGGGGAACCUGCGGCUGGAUCACCUCCUU